AGUGAACGCUGGCGGUAGGCCUAACACAUGCAAGUCGAACGGCAGCACAGUAAGAGCUUGCUCUUACGGGUGGCGAGUGGCGGACGGGUGAGGAAUACAUCGGAAUCUACUUUUUCGUGGGGGAUAACGUAGGGAAACUUACGCUAAUACCGCAUACGACCUACGGGUGAAAGCAGGGGAUCUUCGGACCUUGCGCGAUUGAAUGAGCCGAUGUCGGAUUAGCUAGUUGGCGGGGUAAAGGCCCACCAAGGCGACGAUCCGUAGCUGGUCUGAGAGGAGGAUCAGCCAAACUGAAACUGAGACACGGUCCAGACUCCUACGGGAGGCAGCAGUGGGGAAUAUUGGACAAGGGGCGCAAGCCUGAUCCAGCCAUACCGCGUGGGUGAAGAAGGCCUUCGGGUUGUAAAGCCCUUUUGUUGGGAAAGAAAAGCAGCAGGUUAAUACCCCGCUGUUCUGACGGUACCCAAAGAAUAAGCACCGGCUAACUUCGU
rnacentral:rRNA from 1 species